UGGGGAAUUUUGCACAAUGGGGGAAACCCUGAUGCAGCGACGCCGCGUGAUUUAGAAGGCCUUCGGGUUGUAAAAAUCUUUUCUAUGGGAAGAAAAUGACAGUACCAUAGGAAUAAGGACCGGCUAAUUACGUGCCAGCAGCCGCGGUAAUACGUAAGGUCCGAGCGUUGUCCGGAAUCAUUGGGCGUAAAGGGUACGUAGGCGGGUAAGCAAGUUAGAAGUGAAAUCCUGUAGCUCAACUACAGUAAGCUUUUAAAACUGCUCAUCUUGAGAUAUGGAAGGGAAAGUGGAAUUCCUAGUGUAGCGGUGAAAUGCGUAGAUAUAUGGAGGAACACCAGUGGCGAAGGCGACUCUCUGGUCUGUAACUGACGCUGAGGUUCGAAAGCGUGGGUAGCAAACAGG
rnacentral:rRNA from 1 species